UAGGGAAUCUUCGGCAAUGGACGGAAGUCUGACCGAGCAACGCCGCGUGAGUGAAGAAGGUUUUCGGAUCGUAAAGCUCUGUUGUAAGAGAAGAACGAGUGUGAGAGUGGAAAGUUCACACUGUGACGGUAACUUACCAGAAAGGGACGGCUAACUACGUGCCAGCAGCCGCGGUAAUACGUAGGUCCCGAGCGUUAUCCGGAUUUAUUGGGCGUAAAGCGAGCGCAGGCGGUUAGAUAAGUCUGAGGUUAAAGGCUGUGGCUUAACCAUAGUACGCUUUGGAAACUGUUUAACUUGAGUGCAGAAGGGGAGAGUGGAAUUCCAUGUGUAGCGGUGAAAUGCGUAGAUAUAUGGAGGAACACCGGUGGCGAAAGCGGCUCUCUGGUCUGUAACUGACGCUGAGGCUCGAAAGCGUGGGGAGCAAACAGGAUUAGAUACCCUGGUAGUCCACGCCGUAAACGAUGAGUGCUAGGUGUUGGGUCCUUUCCGGGACUCAGUGCCGCAGCUAACGCAUUAAGCACUCCGCCUGGGGAGUACGACCGCAAGGUUG
rnacentral:rRNA from 1 species